CUCAAAUGUGGCCCGGAGUUUGCGGGCGGGUGGCUUGCUCGCAAACAUAUUAUUGUUUGAUGGACCGGAUCUGACCCUUUAACGUUAUUAGGGGUUGGAUACCAGGCGUGCAGCGCACAGCAGGGAGCAGGAUGAAUGCACGGCGCUGAAGUUAACUACGUGAUACAGUUCCUUUCCUUUAUGAUCGCCUGGUACAUGCUGAGAUCUUCAAACGGAGUAUGACAAGCCCAAAGGAAUGUCUCGCUUUCACAGCUCAAGAACUUAUAAGGACGUGAAAGAAUUCGCUUCACACCCUUGAGAGACCCAUCUACGUGUAUAUUGUCCUUAAACGUGAUAUUUCUAUCAAAAGAUCCAAUUUCGCAUACGUCUGUAACACGUGACGCGAAAAAAGCCAGGGCUGACAAAGACUUCAAAGUUUGCAAGUAUGUAUGUUAUUCAUUAUUUCUUGACUUCGUUGCUUUUUAAAAAAAAAUCCGCUUGACUUCUCACUUGAUGUUAAGUGAUGAUGGAGUCACUCGUCGUUAACGUAGUAUCGCGUUAACUUGAAAAGAAUACCUUUA